rnacentral:rRNA from 1 species
GUCUGCGGCUAUGCCACCCUGAACAAGCCUGAUGUCUGAUGGCGGAAGCUAACCAGGGUUGGGCCUGGUUAGUACUUGGAUGGGAGACCACCUAGGAAGACCAGGUGCUGUAGGCA